UUCUUGCAAACUAAAAGAAUGGCGACCGGCGCACGGGUGAGUAACACGUAUCCAACCUGCCGAUAACUCGGGGAUAGCCUUUCGAAAGAAAGAUUAAUAUCCGAUAGUAUAUUAAAACCGCAUGGUUUUACUAUUAAAGAAUUUCGGUUAUCGAUGGGGAUGCGUUCCAUUAGUUUGUUGGCGGGGUAACGGCCCACCAAGACUACGAUGGAUAGGGGUUCUGAGAGGAAGGUCCCCCACAUUGGAACUGAGACACGGUCCAA
rnacentral:rRNA from 1 species